rnacentral:rRNA from 1 species
AAACUCCCGGUGGUACAGGAUGGUCCCGCGUCUGAUUAGCCAGUUGGCAGGGUAACGGCCUACCAAAGCGACGAUCAGUAGCCGGCCUGAGAGGGUGGACGGCCACAUUGGGACUGAGACACGGCCCAAACUCCUACGGGAGGCAGCAGUCGGGAAUAUUGCGCAAUGGAGGAAACUCUGACGCAGUGACGCCGCGUGCAGGAAGAAGGUUUUCGGAUUGUAAACUUCUUUUAUUCGGGACGAAGAAAGUGACGGUACCGAAUGAAUAAGCCACGGCUAACUAC